AAGUUUCCCGAAGAUUCACACGGAGCUGUCAGAAAUAAGAAAAUUGCCAAUUUGUAAAAUAGAAGUUUUUCUCAUAAGAAAAUUCCGUAAUUUUUACACUUUUAUACUAAAUUUUUCCUGCAAAAAACCUUCACUAGAUGAAGGAUCCUUCAAUAGAUUGGCAGAAGGAAGCACGCAAUGGCAAAUAAUCCGGAUGAGUAUGAUCAGCAAUUUCAGGCGGAUCUGGAGAAGGCAACCGCACUGAGUUUGGAAUCAUUGGCCCUUGAGCAAUUUCGGAGGAAGAAAUUGGGCUUGCCCCCCAUUGAGGAAGCUCCUCUGCGUCUCACAAAGCCUCAGGGGAAUGUUCCAGCACGGAGGCACAGUGAAAUCCACACAACGUCCUCAGCUGUACCCGUGAGACGUCCGGAUGAGGAUCAACCGGAUUUAAUAUCCUUCAGUGGCGCCGAAGGGGCAGCAGAAGUGCCGCCGGCAAAGGAGGAAAAUACAGCUCAUAGUAAUUUUAUUCAGCUCGUGGAUCAGUUGCACACAAUCCGGGCGAAGCAACUCACCGAGGGUGGGGCAGCACCGUUCCGGAGUCAGAGUAUGCAAACCCCACCGGCGUAUUCGUGGCAAUUGGUGCCGUACAAUCUCAAUCAGUCAGCUGCAAAUCUCACUGCAACACCCUACAUGCCCCAGCAGCAGAAUCCUUUUCACUAUCCCGAUCCCACGAAGCCCAUUCCACCGCCUGGUGGUCAAUCCACAGCGCCAUUGACUCCGGAACAGCUAUCGAAGCUCUACAGUAUGAAUUCCUAUCCUGGUGCCCCACAACCAUCAGCCUAUGCAAAUCCCUAUGGUGCCUACUACCCUCCAUACCCACAGCAUCCUGCAGCAGCACCUCCGAUCAUCCCUCCACGUGCUGCUCCGAUUCCAGCUCCAAGCUUUGUGUCUAAUCCCGAGUCAGCUCUUGUGCACGUUCCGCAGCAGCAGCGCGAGAGGCCACCCUCAAUGCCCUUCCCAGCGCCCUCAAUUCCCCUCCAGGCGCCCUCAAUCCCAUCAACUUCCCAGCCAGCUGCUCCACGGAGUCACAAUCGUCCAAUGGAUGACCUCAUUGAUCUCGGAGCAGACAGCAAGGCGCUCGACAAAGUGAGCGUCCUCGAGGCCUUCGACCCACUGCUAUGCGACCAAAUGGCCACCAGUGAUAAAGACGACAAUGCCAGCGAAUGCACCAACAGCUACUACUCCGAAUACGAUCCAUUUGAUUAUCUCUACAGCAGCGGUGGGACGCAGUAUUCAGAUCCCGUCUACGAGGCAGUCAAUAAAACCGAAAGAGGUAUCCCAGCUGGGAAUGCUCCACCGAUAGGAUGGAAUGUAUCAACAAUUGGGUGGAAUUACAGUCAAAUGGGCACUCCACCACCUCUACCGCCGAGAAAUCUUUCAUCAAGUCAAACACCCUCACCAGAUGGCACCACCCUUACGCGCCAAUCGGUUGAUCGUCGGAAAUAUCCGACAAAAUUGUAUGAAAACGUUGUAAUUCGCAAAAGUUACGAUGGUGAAUUGAUGGCCUUCUACCGAAUGGUCCUUGAUGUACGAAUGCGGUAUAAGCAUACGGAGAGUGAGACAAAUGUGGGGCAUAUUGUUGCAUCGGAAUUUGCCAGUCCCUACGCUGAAUCGACGAGUAUUAAAAUUCUCGUCCAUCCAGCCCUUGAGACGAUGGACCAAGAGGCCCUAAGGAGGGCAAUUGAGCGAAAUCGCGUGAGCAGUAUUGAGGGUUCGGCACUCAACAAUGGCAAAGGGCAAAUUGAGGGCUAUGGUCCACCUGUAGUGUUUACCUGUGAUAUUAGUACAACCGUAGAACACGUGAUAAUGCAUGCAUUCUGUGAAUUAGAAGGCCAAAUAAGAGGGGAAGUUUCUGAUUUUGCUCUAAAGCCAAUCGGUGUUGUUGAGUGGUUAUCGCCGAAAUCGAAGCUAAAUCAAUUAGAAUGUAUACACAAUAGCAUAAAAUUGGAGAAGGACGUCCAAUUGGGGUUGUGCCUGAAGACGUCGAAUAUGCGAAAUGUUGCCAGAACGCUGCAGGAUGAUCUGAGGGAUGCAGAGAUAAAGCCCGAAGAUAUUUUGGCACAUGAACCCGUCUCAUCGAUUAGCUACAACAACCUCAUGAUCCUCCUGGAGACGCUUGAAUCGGAAAUUGAGCAACUCGAGCAAGCAGCCACGAAUCCCAAUCGUCACACAAUUCUCAGCUGCUCAGGUGUUGUGCAGUCCGUGAAGGCAAUUUGUGCCCUUCUCGGUAGCAUUGAUACAUUGGAUAUUUCCGAAGCAAUUGACCAACUGACGGCGGUGUGUGAGAAUGGGCAGAAUGUUCUAAGCUAUCAAGGUGGGAAGAUGGAUAUUGUGUCAGAGAGUGGGGAUUAUGCGCAAGUUAACUUGAGACCGAGGACAAUUGUUGAGCAAAUUCGCUACAGAUGCCACCACGUACGGGAUAGUAUUCAGCAACUUCUGGAAAUUUAUUCAAAUGCCUUCCGGGUGGACUUUUGUGUCAAUGCACCGGAUUACAUAUCAUCUUCUGUGCCCAUUUCGAAUGUUUCCGAAACCGUAAUGGUUCACGUAAUGUGCCUUCACCGUCCACCAGUUACGUGGAAGCACGAUGAAUACAAUUUGGGUGCUCAAGUCUACCAUGGGACGCGUUAUAUCGGCGAGGCCGUCGUGACGCAGUGUUCGAAUGAAAUUUCAGGAAUUUAUCCGCGAUUCACCUUCAAUUCGUGGCUGAAUUUCGAAGGGAUUCCCGUGUGUACGUUACCACGGGAGAGUCGCCUCAUUUUCGUCCUUUACGGGUGUUCCGUUGAGACCUCAGACGAUGGUGGGAAUGCUGCGGCAAAUGCAAGUUCAGCCAGCAUGGAGGGGGCAACGACGAGUACGAUUAAUGGGACAAAUGGGGAGAAGAUUGUUCGAACUGAAUUGGGUUGGACGUCCAUUCAGUUCUUUGAUUUUGAACGAAAUAUGAUUCAGGGAACAUUCCUCCUGUCCCUGUGGCCCCCAUCGACGGAUAAAUUCCUCGGACCGGCUCCGGCAAAGGGAACGCAUCCCUAUGGGGACACGUAUCCGGUUUUGGGGGUUGAAAUCCCCAAUUAUGGCGGCAGGAUUGUCUUCCCGGAGACCCCAGCGAGCCCCGUGUCGCGCCCCCGUUACGAUUUCUACAGUCUCGAUUGCAAUUUGCGCCAGGAGUUGAUUGAUACGGCUGAACAGGGAUACCCAAGUGCCUUGGAUAAGCGUGAAGUGCUCUGGGAGAAGCGACACUACCUCCAGGCACUCCCACAUGCCCUCCCGAAGAUCCUCCAUGCGGCACAUAGUUGGGAUUUUGCCAGUGUUAUCGACCUGCAUGAUCUCCUUCGUUCCUGGAGCCCUUUAUCGCCACUUCAGGCACUCGAACUCCUCCUUCCACGCUACCCAGACAUGGAGGUACGACGCUACGCCACAAAAUGGGUCUCAAGCAUCCAUCAGGAUCAAUUAAGGGACUUCCUACCGCAACUGCUCCAGGCACUGAAGCAUGACACGUACGAAGCUUCGCCAAUGGCAAAUUUGCUUCUAUCGCGCUCCUUGGAGUCUCCGCGUGUUGCUCAUCACCUGUACUGGUUACUUGUGCACAACCUUCCCGGAGAGAGUCCACAGAAUACCAUUGAAGUCCUCCCCGCUGAAUCAGACGCCUCAAUCAUUACACAGGCACGUUACCAUCGAAGGAAUCAGAUGAUGUUGCGGGCACUUCUGGCCACAUGCGGAGAGAAGCUAUCAGCGAGAUUUCUGGCUCAAAAUAUGAUUUGCAGGAGUCUUGCCGAAUGUGCCCAGAACGUGAAGCAAUCGAAGGAAUCUCUGAGGCAGAAGACACUCAUUCAGGGCAUGGAGAUUGUCAAUCAAAUCCUCAUGGAGCGCCCAACGUCCCUUCCACUUGGCCCGGAGUUGGAAGUUGUUGGGGUUCACGUGAGGAAUUGUAGCUACUUCAAUUCCAACACACUUCCGCUCAAGAUAAGCUUUGUUGGGCCCGAUGGGGGGCAUGUUCCGGCUAUUUUUAAGAGUGGUGAUGAUUUGCAGCAGGACAUGCUGACGCUGCAACUGGUGCGUGUGAUGGAUAAGCUGUGGCUCCGAGAGGGGCUUGAUCUCAAAAUGGUGACAUUUGAUUGUGUCCCAACGGGGCAUAAGAAGGGAAUGAUUGAGCUUGUCACCGAUGCGGAAACACUGCGGAAGAUUCAGGUCGAAUGGGGCCUCACGGGGUCCUUCAAGGAUAAACCCAUUGCGGAGUGGUUGGCAAAGCAGAAUCCCAGCCAACUUGAGUACCAACGUGCUGUGGAUAAUUUCACAGUGUCAUGCGCCGGCUAUAGCGUCGCCACGUACAUUCUGGGCAUUUGUGAUCGUCACAAUGACAAUAUAAUGCUCAAAACGUCCGGGCAUCUCUUUCACAUUGACUUCGGGAAGUUCCUCGGGGAUGCACAGAUGUUUGGGAAUUUCAAGCGCGACCGGACGCCAUUUGUCCUCACAUCGGACAUGGCGUACGUGAUCAAUGGGGGGGAUCGUCCAUCGACGAAAUUUCACCAUUUUGUCGAUCUCUGUUGCCAAGCAUUCAACAUUGUACGCAAGCACGGGGAUCUCAUACUCCACAUGCUUGCCCUGAUGGCCACAGCAGGGAUUCCCGGGGUAACAGCUGAUGCGGUAACGUACGUCCGGAAGGCCCUACUGCCCGGACAAUCGAAUCCCGAGGCAGCAGCUUCAUUUGCCAAAAUGAUUCACAUUUCUCUCAAAUCCUGGUUCACACAAUUCAACUUCUUCCUCCACAAUCUCGCACAGUUGCGCUUCAGUGCAGACGAAGACAAUGGGGAGCUACUAAGCUUCGUCCCAAGGACCUAUACAAUGGCCCAAGAUGGACGCCUGCAGUCAGUUGUAGUGUAUGGGUAUCAGAAGAGGUAUGAUCUGGAGAAGUACUACACGUACAUCCUGAAGGUAACGCGACAGAAUCAACCAGAUCCAGCCUAUUUGUUUCGUUCCUACAAAGAAUUUCUGGAAUUUCAUCAAAAACUCUGCCUUCAUUUUCCCCUCGCAAAGCUUCACAGGUUAGUUAUCUUCUUUUUUGUCUUUUUUACAUUUUUUACUUUUUAAUGCUCAAAUUAAAGGGAUUUUAGCAUAAAAUUCAACAUAUUUUAGGGUGGAAAAAUAUUUAAAAACUUUUAACGUGCAAAAUGUGUGUGAUUUAAUGAUGAUUUCGACUCAGAAACUUGAGCUGAAUGAUAAAUUUUCAAUUGAAGAAAUUUUCUUCUGAAUUUAUCUGAUUUGUUGCUGAUUUCGACAGAAAAACUUCAAUUUUAAUGAAGUCCUUGAAUUUUAAGAAUUUUCAUCAUGAUUCAUCUGAUUUAUGCCUGAUUUUGACCAAAAAAUUGGUCUGAAUAACAAAUUUUUAAUUGAAGAAAUUUUUUUCUUCAUAAUUCGAAUAGUGCUUUUGACUUAAAAAUACCUAACAAUUUUAAUAAAUUCCAAAGUGUAAAAUUUUGGGUCAAUUAAAAGAUUCAACCUUCAAGACGAAAGUUCUUUGGUUCGUAUCCACCCUUGGAAUUAGUUCUUAACACUUUUUUUUCCUCUGGAAAUUUUUCAGCUUUCAUUUAAGACUCUUAAAUUUUAAAUCUUCCAUCGUAUCGCCGUAUUUUUCGAAGCACAAAGUUUUCGACUUUCCCUAGAACUUCAUCAGGUGCCUAAAGGAAUUUUUUUCUUUUAAAUUAAACAUUCUCUAUUUUAUUUAAAAUUCAAAAUUUAAUUUUAUUACUUUUUUUAAAUCGAAAAAUGCUUCUUAGAGUCUUAGAGAGAAAAAAAAAAAGAUAAGAAAAAGAGAAGCUCCCCCUAAAAAAGGAGUCCUUUUCAGGCUUCUGUGUCGGAGUAGUCCUUUGUAAUUGAAAGCUUCUGUCGUUGUUCCUUUUGCAUGUCCCGCAACGUCCUCGGUGGGCGAUCUGCGUCAUCGUCAUCAUCAUUGAGAUCCAUGAGGAUUGUGUGCGGAAGAACCUUUUGCCGGUGAACGGCAACUGAGUCACGGGCACGGGGUUUUGGGGCUGGGGCCGCUGUGAGAUGAUUGAGACUCUGUCGAUGCUUCGACACCAUGUCCCAGCUGUCGUAGUCACCCUCACUCUGUCCGAUAAUUUCGUCAUCAAUGGCAAAUUGGAGUGUCUUCUUCUCCCCACGCGGUGGCUGCGGUGGCGCCUCUGCGGUGGUGGCUGCCUUGGCGGAGGUGCGCGGGAUGGCAACGGGGGCAAAGGUUGCGGAUUCAGCGAGAAUUUUAUCCGAUGCUGCAUUAUCCACACGAUGAUCCUUCUUCUUUUCAACAGUUAUUUCCUUUUCUUUUCUCUUUGCGUGCUUUUGCUUCAAAACUCUUACCUUGAUUGCCUUGCUCUUCGUCUCGGGGCUCUUCACACUCAUCCCACUCUUCCUCUUCUCCUUCCCCGAAGCGGCUGCACUCUGGGCUCCUCCUGUUGCUGUUGUAGGGCUAGUCGUCUGUUGCACCACUCUUGGUGGAUUGAGGGGAAGAUUUGGGGGCUUAAUCUCCGCAUUUGGAAUGUUUGAUGGUGUGGAAAUCUUCAGGGGAAUAUCCUCAGCACUUCGAGGCUCUACAGCAUGCUCCUCAAGUUCAAUGUUCAAUUUCUCAUGAAUAUUAUUAUUUUUUGUUUCCUCUUUCGGCGGUGGAGGAGCUUUCUUCUUCCCCCCUGCAACAUUCUGUGAUGAUUGGAAUGCAUGAUUCCCAUGAUUCUCCCCCCUGGAGGCCUCAUCUUGAUGAUUUUGAUGCUUUUCUGGCCUUUCAAUCACAUUUCCUGAUGACUCUUGAUGGUGAUUUAAAUUGAUCCUCAAGGGUUCAUCCAAAGAAGGAUUUUCUCUACUUAGGAUCGUUGAUCGUCGUAGUUGUGUCUCAACUCUUGAUUGUCUCUGUACUGAUCGUUUAUCCAAGCGAAUUGCUGAAAAAGUUGGAAAAUAGCAUUGUUUUCAAGAUGUUGAUAGUUUGCAAUUGAAAUGGGUGAAUGUUCCACAUAAUAGAUGGCGCCACUAAUUAUAAAAAAACAAAUAUUUCUUUAAUUUAACAUUUUCAAGCACAAUAUGGAUUGAAAUGUUUUAUAAAAGGAUUUUUUUUAGAAAGAUUUUUGAACAGAAUUUUAUUUAUUUGGUGAAGAUUUAAACAUAGAAAUGUGUUUCGAAUGUUCCUGAUUUGUUUAAUACUAUCUCGAUUUUUUUUUGAUAUUUUUUAAUGAUUCUAAUGAUCUUUCGAUGUAUCUUAAGCUAUUUUGAUAUGGUAAGCCUUGAAUUAUUUUGAUAUUUUUUUUAAACAACUUUAAUGUUUCUGAAACAAGUUUUGCUGUUAAUGACUCUUCUAAAGUAUAAUUUUGAUAUUUCUAAAGCAUAAUUGAUGUUUCUGUAUAGAAAUAUUAAUGUUUUAAGGGAGUUUCUGUUGCUAUAUUUUGCAGUUUUAACCCUUUCGUGUGUUUUGGGUCAUACGUAGACUCAAACGUGAAACAUUUAAUUUUCUUAAGUUUUAAAGAAUUUAAUUGUUUUUCCUAGUUAGAAAUACUUGAAAUUCAUGUAGAAUAAGCUAAAAAAGACGUUUCGCCUAAGAAAUGUUCUCUGAAAACAUUCUUAGAAUAAAUAUCAUGAUAAAAAAGCGCAUGUUUCAAUGUUUUUAUGUUUCAUUUUGGACGCGAAAUGGUUAAAGUUCUUUCGAUUUUUACUAACUCUAUUUUGAUGUUUCUGAUGCAGUAUUGAUAUUUCGAAAGAUACUUUGAUAUAUCUGAAUCUGUUUUUUGCUCGAUAAUUAUGAAACAAAAUUAAUGUUUCUGUAGCAAUUUUUAUGUUUCUAAAACUAUCUUAAUAUUAUUAAUGUUCUUUCGAUGUUACUUUUGUCAGAACCUUAAUAAUAUUUGUAUGUAAAACUCAUUUUUUUAGUGGGGUAUUGUAUUUUCUGAUUAGAAACUUAAUGUUUCAUGUGAAAUCUUCAUGUUUCACGGCUAUAAUGUUCAAUUUCUGAUGCUAUCAAUGAUUUUUUUUGUUAAUUGUAAGAUUUUUUGUGUUGCACUAUUAUAUGUUUUGGAUGUAAAAAACUUAAUGUUUUGCAUUUUUCAAUACAUGUUUCGUGUGUUCCAAACAAAUAUUCCGUUUAAAUUUAAAUGCUUUUUAAAUUUAAAAUUUACAAUGAGCAGAUGAAAUUAAAGGGUUAUUAAGUGAAUUAAUUAAAUAAUAAAUUUACUUUAUUUAAUUACUUUGGUGAAGGAUUUUUAGUGGCGCCAUCUAGUGUGUAAGAAAACACUACUGGUGAGAAUUUCAAACUAUUAAAUAAACUCACGUGGUAGUGACUGUGGUCGCUCAAUUGACACAAAAUUGUCAAAAUCCGCGGUUUUACGGUAGAAUCCCGUGACAACCACUGAAUCCUCGGGGGAGUCAUUUUUGGGUGCCGUUGGGAGACGAUCGAAAGUGAGUCGAUGCCGGAACCAGCGCAAUUUAAUACCCAAUACAGCCACAAUCAUACUAAGGAGUGCCCCAAGAGAGCAAAUUGCCACAAAAUUGAGUUGAACUGCAAAAUGGAAUUUUUAGUUAAAGAAAAAUGUUUUUUUUUUAAAGAAUUUUUCGUUUAAGGAUCUCUUUUCUUACCAUUUUCUCUGGGUUCCAAUACAGCCAUUUGAUGGAGGGAAAUGAGGGAGGAAGAAGCCACGAAUUCACCGUGCCGUAACGAAAUGUAAUUCACCAACUGAAUGGGACGAAUUGUGAAGCAAUUAAUUUGUCUUUUCACCAAACUCCCAUAUACCUCUGUUGUUUGAUAAAAAUACGCGUAACAAUAUAUUGAUAAGAUGCUUUCAAUUGCCUCGUUUUGAUAUCCCCCAACUGUGAGCUGAUUUCGAUUUUGUGGGGGCAAUUGAGGAAUUUUUUUUUCUCUUCUCCUUCUUUUGCCACAUUUUUCUCAUUCCUUUCAACACACAAAUUUUGGAAAGAGAAAUAAUUCGCGGAAAUAACACUGAAAAAAAAAAAGUUUUUGGGGGAUGAUAUCCGGAAGAUAAUUUGUUGGCUGACAAACCGUCAUGGUAUCGUUACGUUAGAUUACACAGAAGAAUUCAAUCGAUUGAGCUGUGCGAGAAGGACGAUUUAUUGAAUUUAUCGCAAUACGAUAGUUUACAAGUGGCUGACUAAUCCAACUGCCUUCCAAGUGGAAUUCACGUGGGACGUUCAAAUGUAAAAACCGUUGCGGACAAGAGAUUACCGGAAAUAAGGACCUUCCUCAUUUCCUUAUUCAAUUCAGCCGAUGAGAUUGCACAUUCAGAUCUCGUCUAUACCUUCUUCCAUCCACUCUUGCGGGAUCAGCAAGAGGCGGAUAUUCAUGUGGCCAAAGUUAAAG